rnacentral:lncRNA from 1 species
GUUGAAGAAACUAUCUUCUUCCAGUGUGUUUUUGGUAUAUUUAUCAAGUAUCAGGUCAUGCCAAAGAAGCUGGGAGAGAUCAUAAUAUAACAUCUUCCUAUGAUCUGGAAUAAGAAAAAGUUUUUUGUGUCUUCAUUGCGUUUUUAUUGCUUAUCAAGAAGAGGAGACAUAGAAGAAGGCAUUUCGGAAGAUGUGAUAAGAAAAGACAUUUUUGUUUUCUUUAACUAUGUUCGUAAUUUCUUCCUCUCAUCUAAUCUCUGUAGUCCUUAAUUCCCUCACAUGGAAAUCAGGAGCAAGUCACAUUGGCUUUCUGAACAUAGAAAAUCAAAGAAGCAAGUGUGAUUAUCUGAUUCUCCAGCA